rnacentral:rRNA from 1 species
GACGAACGCUGGCGGCGUGCUUAACACAUGCAAGUCGAACGGAAAGGCCCUGCUUUUGUGGGGUGCUCGAGUGGCGAACGGGUGAGUAACACGUGAGUAACCUGCCCUUAACUUUGGGAUAACUUCAGGAAACUGGGGCUAAUACCGGAUAGGAGCUCCUGCUGCAUGGUGGGGGUUUGAAAGUUUCGGCGGUUGGGGAUGGACUCGCGGCUUAUCAGCUUGUUGGUGGGGUAGUGGCUUACCAAGGCUUUGACGGGUAGCCGGCCUGAGAGGGUGACCGGCCACAUUGGGACUGAGAUACGGACCAGACUCCUACGGGAGGCAGCAGUGGGGAAUAUUGCACAAUGGGCGGAAGCCUGAUGCAGCAACGCCGCGUGCGGGAUGACGGCCUUCGGGUUGUAAACCGCUUUCGCCUGUGACGAAGCGUGAGUGACGGUAAUGGGUAAAGAAGCACCGGCUAACUACGUG